rnacentral:lncRNA from 1 species
AUUUCUGUAACAAAAAAAUGAAGUUAAUAUAAAAGUAGCAAAUUAAAAGUUUGUGUCGUCACGAUGUGACAUGACUGAUAAAGAAGGAGAAGAGGCAGAAGAAGGAAAUCAUGGAAGUGAGUGAAGGUGAGAGAGACUGAUGCCUGACUCCUAACCAUUUCAAACUUUGGCACUGAAAUUCAUGGCGUUUAUCUUUUUUUCUUUUUACCUUUUUUUUUCAUUUUUUCGUGUAAAUGAAACGACACCCACUUCUUCUAUUCUAAUAACGACUUUUCUUCUCUUCAUAUUCAUGGAGUAUUUCUCGCAUUGAUUUCACUUUUGCAUAAUUGGGUGAGCAUUUUUUAGUUUGUUGUUCCUCCCAUUUUAUAGCACAUGCUCUUUUUGAUGUUAAAAGAGUGUAUUUCUACAGUUUCAUUGGUUCCAUCGUUUGUUUCAAGAUUUUUCCAUUUUGGGUAAAUGGUGGGGACUAUUAGUAGAAACGGAUUACGUAUAUCUAGCUAUAACAAUUUAGAUCAUAUUGUUCAACUCAAUAUUAUCUAAGUUAAAAAAAACCAUACUAUUAGUUUGGGGUUUGAGUUCUCAUAAAGAUAUUAAUGGCUUAAC